rnacentral:lncRNA from 1 species
GCAACUGGGGCCAUUGAGGACCAAAUGUGCACCUGAGCCCAAAGGAAUGUACCUGCAAGAUAUGGCCCUAUACAGACACUAUUAUGAAUCCAGACAUAUCCCAGGCUUGGUGUUCUGAAACUGACCAGCAUUCAUGCAAGACUUGACUUGGCAAAAUCCUGAACUAGCUUCCUCAUGAAAUUCCAGGUUGAGACUCUUCCCAUCCUGACCAUGGAGGUGGAGAUCGAUUCCGAGAGCACCCCCAUGACGCCUUGCACAGAGAGAGUACACUCUACCUGAAUGAAAAAACAACAGUAAGGACUGGUGAAUGCUGAUUGGUGCGUAUAUUUUAAAAGCAUUUGGCACUCAGCCUUCCUACAGCUAUGUCACCUGAACAAAAUGACUUGGGUCUGUAAUGAGAUAAAAGAAAGGAAGAAAAGAGUUAUUGACUGUCCUGUGGUGUUAGUCUAGCGAUUUAUGCUGGCAACCAAUCAACAUCUGUGUUGGGAGCCUCACAUGUAAAUUUGGGAGGACAAAAUGGAGCAGACUUGGAUAGAAGGAGCUGCUAGAUUGGAUCGGUCUAUACUUAUGGACUUCAGUUUAUACUUCAAACUUCUGGACAAAAAGGGGAAAAUGGUCUUGAAACUCAGAUCCGCCAUCCUCUCUAGCUCCCGAGUAUGGGGCUCUUUGGCCUGUGCCACCACAUCUUGUUUGUGCAGUUGGGACUUGA